rnacentral:tRNA from 1 species
GCCCAGAUGGCGAAAUUGGUAGACGCAACGGCUUUAGGUGCCGUCGGUGAAAACUGUCGGGGUUCGAGUCCCCGUCUGGGCACCA